rnacentral:rRNA from 1 species
AGCUCCAGUAGCGUAUAUUAAAGUUGUUGCAGUUAAAAAGCUCGUAGUUGGAUUUCUGGUACGCUGCGCCUGGCCCGCCUUCGGGUGAGUGCUGGUGCGCGGUUGCCAUCCUUCUAGAGAACACGUCUACCCUUCAUUGGGCCGGACGUGGAAUCUAGAUCUUUUACUUUGAAAAAAUUAGAGUGUUUAAAGCAGGCUUAUGCUAUGAAUACAUUAGCAUGGAAUAAUAAUAUAGGGCUUUGGUUCUAUUUUGUUGGUUUCUAGGACUAAAGUAAUGAUUGAUAGGGAUAGUUGGGGGUGCUAGUAUUCAGCGGCCAGAGGUGAAAUUCUUGGAUUCGCUGAAGACUAACUUAUGCGAAAGCAUUCACCAAGGAUGUCUUCUUUAAUCAAGAACGAAAGU